UAUACCUACGGGAGGCAGCAGUGAGGAAUAUUGGUCAAUGGUCGGGAGACUGAACCAGCCAAGCCGCGUGAGGGAUGAAGGUAGAGAGUAUCGUGAAUCUCUUUUGUCAGGGAACAAAGGCGGGGACGCGUCCCCGGAUGAGUGUACCUGAAGAAAAAGCAUCGGCUAACUCCGUGCCAGCAGCCGCGGUAAUGCGGAGGAUGCGAGCGUUAUCCGGAUUUAUUGGGUUUAAAGGGUGCGCAGGCGGUCUGUUAAGUCAGCGGUCAAAGCCCGGGGCUCAACCCCGGCCCGCCGUUGCAACGGGC
rnacentral:rRNA from 1 species